UAGGGAAUCUUCGGCAAUGGACGAAAGUCUGACCGAGCAACGCCGCGUGAGUGAAGAAGGUUUUCGGAUCGUAAAACUCUGUUGUUAGAGAAGAACGACGAGGAGAGUGGAAAGCUCCCUGUGUGACGGUAUCUAACCAGAAAGGGACGGCUAACUACGUGUCAG
rnacentral:rRNA from 1 species